UUGAGACUUGACUUGCCUUGCCCAUCAGGCCUCUCCGCAUGACCUUGUCGUGGGUGGGAUCUCCUGUGCUGGCUCCCGGCAUCAGCCUUGUGGGCUCCGUGGUCAGUGUGGCAGCUGCUCCACUCUGCCUUCAUCUCACACUGUUCAGGGACUUUUCCCACUUGCGGUUGACCAGAGGGGCUGACUGCUUCCCGUCUCUUGCACCACCGUCCCCUGAUUUCUCCUUGCAAUGGGUGAUGGGCUGCCCAGGCUGUAUUUGUGGGUCUGAUAACCGCCAAGUCUCAAGUCCACCUUGGCCUUCAGGAUUCGGCCAUGUGGGGGACGCUCUUCCCUCCGAGAUGGUCACCAGACUGUUCGAGGGCAUGCGGAGGGUGGAUGGCAGCGGGAAGGCAAAGGGGCCCAGCGAGCGCGUCUCCCAGGAACAGUUCACAGCAUCCAUGUCCCACCUGUUGAAAGGAACUGCCGAGGAGAAGAGUCUUGUGAUCCUGAACAUGAUUUCUGCCUCAGGAGGUCCCGUGAAAGCAAGAGAUGUCCACAAGUUUACAGAGGACUUGGUUGGCUCUGUGGUACACGUGCUAAACUACAGACGGCAGCUGCGAGGCUGGAGUCAGAAGCCACCCCCAGGCUCCCCAUCCAGGGUGCAGGUGCUGGCUGCCCAGCUGUGCUCCGAGAUGAGGCUUCAAGGUGGCGGGAAGCUUCUGGGCCCUCAGUGGCUGGACCAUGACUGUGACCGGGCCGUGCUUGAGGACUGGGUGUUCCGGGCCCACCACGUGGCCACGUUUCUGAGCCUGGUCAUCCACCAGGGCUUCCUCCUCCUGCGCUCGUCCCUUGAGCUGGCCACCCUGGUCCCUGAGCGCCAGGUGGACCCUCAGCGGGAGUUUGCCAGCAUCCUGGAUGUCCUGUCCGUCAUCUACAUCAACUCGCACCUGCCCCAGGAGCGGCGGCUCCGCUGGCGCCUGCUCUUCGCGACUGAGCUCCACGGGAACAGCUUCGCCCAGCUCUGCGGGCGCAUCGCACACGGAGGGCCCUGCCUGGUGCUGCUGGAGGACUGCGACGGGCACGUGUUCGGGGGCUUCGCCUCCUGCUCCUGGGAAGUCAAGCCUCAGUUUCAAGGGGACGACAGGUGCUUCCUGUUCUCCAUCUCCCCCAGCAUGGCCGUGUACACCUGCACGGGCUACAACGACCACUACAUGUACCUGAAUCAAGGGCAGCAGACCAUCCCCAACGGCCUGGGCAUGGGCGGACAGCACGGUUACUUUGGGCUGUGGAUCGACGUUGAUUUCGGGAAAGGACACAGCAAGGCCAAGCCCACGUGCACCACGUACGGCAGCCCUCAGCUGUCGGCCCAGGAGGACUUCCAGUUCCAGAAGAUGGAGGUGUGGGCGGUGGGAGACGCCCCGAAGGCAGAGCCGGUCAGGAAAACCAGGAGCAUUCUGGACAUCGACCCCGAGGCCCGGGCCCUGCUGGAAGCCAGUGGGCGGGGCCGCCACAGCGAAGGGCUCCGGGAGGUUCCCGAUGAGCAGUGAUGACAGCCAGCGCAGGCCACCCUGGAGCCAGAGCUCAGCCUGCCCACCCUCCUGCGUCCCGCGGAGGCCUGACUUUGGUCCAGAGCGUGCGGGUCACAUCCUGGCGGUCCCGGCGGUGCCCAGUCUGCACAGAGUACAGUUUCCCUGUUGCCAUAUGUCCAUCGGCGGUGGUGUCUCCCCCAGAAUCCCGAGCAUACAGCUAGCAACCUGAUCCUUAGACUUGGCUCAUGCCCUAGGGAUGAAAUCCAAAGAGGACGCUGAGAUGUUGAGACUGGCUGGAACUGCCAUCUUUGGGGACUGGAGUUCUUGCAGUGGUGGUAGGGGUGGGGGGGUCGUUUCCACUCUCUUGGGGUCACUGGGCCUCUGCUCAGGCCCCCCAUUUAAGAGCCUUGAGGCUCCAUUUCUUCUUGUCAAGGGCAGAGGUGCUCAGCUGGGAAUCCCUGUGCUUUGAGGAGUAACUUCCUCUGAUACGAAAUUUCUAUAUUUCUAAAAAAAAAUAAGCGUUAGCAGUGUACUAAUGGGGGAAAUAGGAGAUUUUGAAGGUGACAGUGACCUGGGUCUUCAGUAGGGUUGGAUGUCGGCCUUUCUCAGCUUUUUUAGGUGGGUCUGUGCUUGGAGCACAUGGGAAGCCAGGAGGUGAGCAGAGCAGCAGCGUGGCGGUCCUGUUUCUGAUGUAAAUGUGGGCACACUCAGGGCCGAGGGUCGUGCUGAUACACGUGCCGCCUGUCGCAGGAGCUGGGGGCGAGUGACUCGACAGGACCGGCCUGGGCUCCUGGCCUCCAGAGUCGCUCCGUGCUGCCCCCCAGGGGAUGGUGUGUACCGCAGCCUUGUGGACUUGCCGUAAACAGUGACCCUGCCAUGCUAGCGGAGAUGUGGGUGGGCUGGGCCCUGUCCAGUCCAGCCCCGUCCCUCGGGGGUGGCCCAGAGAACCUCCUGACACACUGAGAAUCGAGCUCAGGGGUGUUGCAGGCUCAGCUAAGACACCUGCCUCUGUCUUCCCCUGCUCCACGCUGUCCUGCAGAUCUGACAAUAAAUGCUGCCUUAUUCUCGAGUCGGCCCUGAUUAUAAGCCAUCGUGAACCGAAGCUGUGUGCACUUGCGGGCUCUGCGCUUUCUACAGGAGGCUCAUGAGACCUGCUGCUGAGCCCCGAGCGGAAGGCCUUGCAAGCGGGUCUUCACAAGGAAACGCACGCUCGCAACAGUGACACGCAUGCUCUGUCCUGAUUGACUUUCCUUAUAAAAGGGCCAGUUUUAACAGCUUCUCAGGUGCGUUCUGUGGCUUCCUGACUGAUGGGAAGCAGACACAGGAUGUUAGGAUCCUCAGAUAUCCUUACCAUAAUCUGAAGAAUUAGGCCCCGAGUCUUCAGUCUGUUACAGAUUUUUUAUAAAAAUGCAGUGGAAUAAUACCUCACAAAUAUUAAAAGGUCCAUUCAGUACCAUUUACUGUCUGUGGCUGUCAGAGAGGCUGGAGGUGUCCGGGCCUGUUUUUUCCUGCUUCGUGCCUCUUCUCACAAGAGUGCAGGUCAUGCCCAGGGGCCUGAUGGUUUCCCAGGAUAGCUCAACUAUAGGAUGGGAGGAGGUGCCCGGCCCAGGCGGUUGGUAACCCAGGGGACGUGCCCUUGUGAAGGGCACGUGGGCAUGGGGCAGCCAUGGGACCCCAUGAGCUGAGGGCCUGCGCACAGUGACCAGUGACCAGAGGAACCACACCCCUCCUGGGCCUGGGAAACCUGCAGUGCCAGCUUUAACACAUGAGGAAUUUGUUCUUUGAUAAAAAGGGGAUAAAAAUUCCGGUUGUAUGGGAGGUGGCCUCCCUCCCUUAUCAGGAGACAGAUCAGGGUCCCUGAAGGUGCUGGAAGGAAGGGCUGAAAAGCACUGUGUUAACGUUUUAACACAUGGCUUUUAAACAACUUUUCAAAGCAUGGCUGUAGUUAACUUUUUUCCCAUCAUAGUUACUUUUCGGAAAAUUUUUUCUAUUGAAGGAAGGAUGCUUUAAAUCUCUGCUGCUGGUAAGUCGCUUCAGUCGUGUCCGACUCUGUGCGAUCCCAUAGACGGCAGCUGCCCACCAGGCUCCGCCGUCCCUGGGAUUCUCCAGGCAAGAACACUGGAGUGGGUUGCCAUUUCCUUCUCCAGUGCUUAAAUUCUCUGGUGCUUUACAAGUUUCAAAAGUCUCACACACAUGAUUUUGUAACCCCAUAAUUUUCCCCCAGCCCCCUCUAUUGCCCCGCUCCACUGGUAACCCCUAGUUUGUUCUCUGUAUUUGUGAGUCUGCUGCUUGUUUGUUUGACUCGGUAGUUUAUUUCUUAGAUUUCAUGUAUAAGCGAUACCAGACCGUAUUUAUCUUUGUCUGACUUCAGUUGGCACAAUGCCCUCCAAGUCCAUCCAUGUUGCCGCUAAUGGCAGAACUUCAUGGUGUUUUUAUGGGUGAGCAGUAUUCCAUCUCACACACACACACACCCCUUCUUUAUCCAUUCAUCUGUUGAUGGACCCACUAUAUUUUCUGAUUAAAAGAUUAGCUUAUGCAUACGUGGCAAAAGAGGUCGAAAUACCAAAGAGUGUAGCCUGAAAGCUCAGCCUAACUCCUGUGCCCCUCUAGCCUUUUCUUCCCUAGAGGUAAGGUGUUACACACCCUGGCCUGUCCCUCACCUUUUUUGGGUAGAAAUGGCUCUGUAUCUCCCCCUUUGUUCUCCCCGACUGUGUGACGUCCCGUGAGAUGGAUGCCCCAUUCCUUCCGGCGUUCAACCAUCCCCGGCUUGGGAACGGUCUGUCUGGAACUGUUUGCCGCUGGAGGGAACAUCGUUUAUGCUCGUCUUUCUGUGGUUCUGUCUGGAGGAUGCACCUUUCGAAGCCAAGUUACUGGAUCAAAAGUGACCUCAGGUGACCUCAGCCUGCAGCAGCGUGAAGCAGGGUUUCGGUUCCCAGCCAGCGAUGGAGGUCAGGUUGCGGCAGUGAGAGAGUGGAAGCCUAGCCCCCAGACCAGUGGUCAGGGACAGGGCAGUGCCAACUCCUGCCCAAGCCUCUGGCCUGCCCUGGAGACGUCGGUCUCACCGGCCCCAACAACCGGGUGAGCUAAUUAAUUACUUAACACAAAUGUCCUUCUCUCUUUCUCUGCUCUCCUCCUGUGGUUUGAUUUCUCUGGAAAGCCCUGGGUCGGUGGGGGGGGGGGGGGGUCACAGCUGUGGCCGCAUUGCACGGCAGGUGGAGUUCCGUUUCUGGUUCCCCGUGGUUGGUUCUGCCUGGCUGCAGACCUCUCUGCCAUCUUUCAGCUGCAAGGGUGGGCAUGUGCUGAGAGCAGUCUUGGGGGCUCGCCUGGUGGUCCAGUGGUUGGGACUCUGCGUUUCCACUGUGGUGGGCGUGGGUUCCAUCCCUUUGAGGGAACUAAGAUCCCGCCUGCCACACAGUGUGGCCAAAAAAAACCCCACCACCAACAAAGCCAGUCUUGGGGCUCAGGCUGUGGGAAGUCCUGGUUCUGGGGGGAGAGGUCACACCCUGCUCAGCUUCAGAAGCCCAGGGCCUCUCCGCUGAGGCUGCUCAGGCUGUGACUGGCUCUCGCCACAUGCUCCGGGGUCACGAACACAAGGCUGUACGUUCCCCACUUGGCCACUUGUAGGUAAGUGCGGAUUAAAGCCAACAGAAUAAUCAUCGGGCCCCCUGGCAUCACCGUUAAAGAUAGCCAGAGCCCCCAUUUUGUGGAUGAGGACACGGGCAGAGUGACCAGAAGUCCAGACCCUGCCCCUGCUCUUCCGUCCUCGCCCCCCACCCCGUGUCCCCUCCUGCCAGGGGCUGCAUGGCACCGAGCUAUGGCACAAACACGGAGCCAGACACGGUUCAUAAAAAUCACCGUCAUUUAAUAAAUAGUGCUGGCUCCUCACGGUUCGGCCUGGGGCCUGGCAGCACGGAGCGGUGGAUGCACGUGGGGACCGAGGACUCAGGGCUGGGCCUGCACUCCCCACCGGUUCCCCAGGAACAGCCAGGUGAGCGGGCCUGACGCUGUCAUGUCCCCAGACACCUCUUGGAGGGACGGGGCAGGCGGAGGGCCACAGUCACAUAAAAAAA